rnacentral:rRNA from 1 species
GAACCGUCCAAACGUUUAUUCGGAAUCACUGGGCUUAAAGGGUGCGUAGGCGGCUUGGCAAGUUGGGUGUGAAAUCCCUCGGCUCAACCGAGGAACUGCGCUCAAAACUGCCAGGCUAGAGGGAGAUAGAGGUGAGCGGAACUUAUGGUGGAGCGGUGAAAUGCGUUGAUAUCAUAAGGAACACCGGUGGCGAAAGCGGCUCACUGGAUCUCUUCUGACGCUGAGGCACGAAAGCUAGGGUAGCGAACGGGGGAUUAGAUACCCCGGUAGUCCUAGCUGUAAACGAUGAGCACUGGGUUGGAGGCUCCUCCAUAGGCUUCCGGCCGAAGCGAAAGUGUUAAGUGCUCCGCCUGGGGAGUAUGGUCGCAAGGCUG